rnacentral:rRNA from 1 species
UACGUAGGGUCCGAGCGUUGUCCGGAAUUACUGGGCGUAAAGAGCUCGUAGGUGGUUUGUCGCGUUGUUCGUGAAAACUCACAGCUCAACUGUGGGCGUGCGGGCGAUACGGGCAGACUGGAGUACUGCAGGGGAGACUGGAAUUCCUGGUGUAGCGGUGAAAUGCGUAGAUAUCUGGAGGAACACCGGUGGCGAAGGCGGCGUCCUGGACCAACACUGACACUGAUGAGCGAAAGCCAGGGGAGCAAACGGG